AUUGAACGCUGGCGGCAGGCCUAACACAUGCAAGUCGAGCGGAGCGGCGGACGGGUGAGUAAUGCCUAGGAAUCUGCCUGUUCGUGGGGGAUAACGUCCGGAAACGGGCGCUAAUACCGCAUACUAUCAGAUGAGCCUAGGUCGGAUUAGCUAGUUGGUGAGGUAAAGGCCUACCAAGGCGACGAUCCGUACCUGGUCUGAGAGGAUGAUCAGCCACACUGGAACUGAGACACGGACCAGACUCCUACGGGAGGCAGCAGUGGGGAAUAUUGGACAAGGGGCGAAAGCCUGAUGCAGCCAUGCCGCGUGUGUGAAGAAGGUCUUCGGAUUGUAAAGCACUUUAAGUUGGGAGGCGUUACCGACAGAAUAAGCACCGGCUAACUUCGUGCCAGCAGCCGCGGUAAUUC
rnacentral:rRNA from 1 species